GACGUAGGGGGCCAGCGUUGUUCGGAAUUACUGGGUGUAAAGGGUUCGUAGGCGGUGUGGCAAGUUGGGAGUGAGAUCUCUGGGCUCAACCCAGAGGCUGCUUCCGAAACUGCCGUGCUAGAGUGCGAGAGAGGUGAGUGGAAUUGCAGGUGUAGCGGUGAAAUGCGUAGAUAUCUGCAGGAACACCAGAGGCGAAGGCGGCUCACUGGAUCGCAACUGACGCUGAGAGACGAAAGCUAGGGGAGCAAACAGG
rnacentral:rRNA from 1 species